ACAUACUACAGUGGUCUAUGAUGCAUCUGUUUUCAAUCGUUAAAAUAAACAUUCCUCACAAAUACAUUUUCGUUGUAGGAUUUAUUAUGACAUUACAUUACAAGUAAACGAUUUGUUGGUGAAAUUAUCAUUACCUGUGGUUUCAAACCAGUGUUGCUCACUGCAACGCUGUAGCUUACGCGAGACACUACAAAAACAUCUACAGUACACAGCUGUUUAGGAAGUCAAACGGCGACAGAACAUGUUCGGCACUCCCCUUACUUAAAUCAAAAGUCUUUCAAUAGGUGAAACUAUCUGACUACUAACCUGAACUUCAUUGCCACAGCCUGGGCUUGGACCCUGGCCCUGAGAGUUGUGGAGCAACAUAGAUAGCUCAGUGCUAGUGGAAUGCCAAUUUCUUAUUUUUGGAGCCGUCCACUAGCGUCUAGUUAUGUUCCAGAAAUCCUGUUCCAGCCAAUCGCCUUUGGCAAGGCAGGCCUUCCUCCUUGUGUUAUUUUGGGAAGCCACUGUCAAUCAAACUUGAGCUGGAAGAAAGCACCAAAGUUCAGACAAGAAUUGGGCGUGCUGUUUAUCAUAUUUGAAUACAAUCGUUCAUAUUACCAAGUGAUAGGCAGAGUUUUUGUUUGAGAAAGCAGAACAUUUGUUAGUUUCAUUGUUGUGCAUCUUUCCAGCAGUUUGAAUGAAGGAUGUGGGCUUUUUGUCAUCAUAAUACUCCCCCCCCGCUUAGCCACAAUACAUCAGCGUCCGUGUUAGCUUGCUGGCUGUCUGAAUGCUGUCGUCUGUACAGACCCCCAGGGCCCCCGGGAGGCCGCAGGCGAAUGGGCAGGAUAAACCACGGAGGAGGGCCCAGCGCCCCCCCCAUGGGAGGAGGAGGAUGAGGAAGGUAAACGCCUACACCUGCUGUGUAGGCGUGGGCUAGUGCACGGUGGCAGUCUCCGGCCAUGAGCCUGAUCAACGAUGUCAUCGUGCCAGACCCCCUCCUCAUUGGCUGCUUCUGCCUCUGGCAGACUCUUGACACCACCCUGGGAAUUCCUCAGCGUAGGAACCGGGGGGGCUGACACAGCAGCUUCCUGUUCCUGUCACACUCAAUGUCACUCUAGUCAUUCAUCUGUUUUUUUUGUAUCCCCUGCUAAAUAAAGUGUAGUCAUGUUGAAAUAUCA